GGUUUGAUCCUGGCUCAGAUUGAACGCUGGCGGGAUGCUUUACACAUGCAAGUCGAACGGCAGCACGGACUUCGGUCUGGUGGCGAGUGGCGAACGGGUGAGUAAUGUAUCGGAACGUGCCUAGUAGCGGGGGAUAACUACGCGAAAGCGUAGCUAAUACCGCAUACGCCCUUCGGGGAAGCGGGGGACCUUCGGGCCUCGCACUAUUAAAACUGACGAUAUCGGAUUAGCUAGUUGGUGGGGUAACGGCUCACCAAGGCGACGAUCCGUAGCUGGUUUGAAGGACGACCAGCCACACUGGGACUGAGACACGGCCCAGACUCCUACGGGAGGCAGCAGUGGGGAAUUUUGAACAAUGGGGAAACCCUGAUCCAGCCAUCCCGCGUGUGCGGUAGAAGGCCUUCGGGUUGUAAAGCACUUUUGGCAGGAAAGAAACGGCACGGGAUAAUACCCCGUGCAACUGACAGCCUGCCUGCAGAAUAAGCACCGGCUAACUACGUGCCAGCAGCCGCGGUAAUACGUAGGGUGCAAGCGUUAAUCGGAAUUACUGGGCGUAAAGCGUGCGCAGGCGGUUCCGGAAGAAAGAUGUGAAAUCCCAGAGCUUAACUUUGGAACUGCAUUUUAACUACCGAGCUAGAGUGUGUCAGAGGAGGUGGAAUUCCGCGUGUGGUGAAAUGCGUAGAUAUGCGGAGGAACACCGAUGGCGAAGGCAGCCUCCUGGGAUAACACUGACGCUGUGCACGAAAGCGUGGGGAGCAAACGGGAUUAGAUACCCUGGUAGUCCACGCCCUAAACGAUGUCAACUAGCUGUUGGGGCCUUCCGGGCCUUGGUGGCGCAGCUAACGCGUGAAGUUGACCGCCUGGGAAAUACAGUCGCAAGAUUAAAACUCAAAGGAAUUGACAGGGACCCACGCAAGCGGUGGAUGAUGUGGAUUAAUUCGAUGCAACGCGAAAAACCUUACCUACCGCCCGACAUGUCUGGAAUCCCGAGAUUUGGGAGUGCUCGCAAGAGAACCGGAACACAGGUGCUGCAUGGCUGUCGUCAGCUCGUGUCGUGAGAUGUUGGGUUAAGUCCCGCAACGAGCGCAACCCUUGUCAUUAGUUGCUACGAAAAGGGCACUCUAAUGAGACUGCCGGUGACAAACCGGAGGAAGGUGGGGAUGACGUCAAGUCCUCAUGGCCCUUAUGGGUGGGGCUUCACACGUCAUGCAAUGGUCGGGACAGAGGGUCGCGCCAACCCGCGAGGGCCAAUCCCAGAAACCCGAUCGUAGUCCGGAUCACAGUCUGCAACUCGACUGCGCGUGAAGUCGAGAUCGCUAAUCGCGGAUCAGCAUGUCGCAGUGAAUACGUUCCCGGGUCUUGUACACACCGCCCGUCACACCAUGGGAGUGGGUUUUACCAGAAGUAGUUAGCCUAACCGUAAGGGAGGGCGAUUACCACGGUAGGAUUCAUGACUGGGGGUGAAGUCGUAACAAGGUAG
rnacentral:rRNA from 1 species